CUUUGUGUUCUUCCACGGCUUUCUUGAACUGCAUUUGAUCCUAGGCUCCAGCUACUUUUUUUUAUGAUUAAUUAGUUGCCGCAGUUCAAUAAAGCCGUGGGAAGAUACAAGGA
rnacentral:pre_miRNA from 1 species